rnacentral:rRNA from 1 species
UACGGAGGGGGCGAGCGUUAUUCGGAAUUAUUGGGCGUAAAGAGCUCGUAGGCGGCCUGUUGCGUCCGCUGUGAAAGCCCGGGGCUUAACCCCGGGUCGGCAGUGGAUACGGGCAGGCUAGAGGUAGGUAGGGGAGAAUGGAAUUCCCGGUGUAGCGGUGAAAUGCGCAGAUAUCGGGAGGGACACCGGUGGCGAAGGCGGUUCUCUGGGCCUUACCUGACGCUGAGGAGCGAAAGCGUGGGGAGCGAACAGG